AGCGCACCCCACAUCUGGUGCGGGGCUGGCGGCGCUGCCUGGGCGCCGCUCCCACCCUCUCUGUGGAGCAGGGAUUUGCAGUCAGGCUCCCUCUGUUAUCUGCUGAGACCCGGCUCUUGUGCUCUUCCGUUCAAAUUCAUUUCCCUUCUUCCCGCGGGAGCGAUUUUAAUUAUUUAUUUAUUCUUAUGGGAGGGGGUUAGUCGUUAGCUUUGCAGUCUUGCUAGGAAACAAAUGCAGCAGGCGGUGACUAACAGCUAUUCUCCAGUCUAGACCUCAUGACGAAUGUGAUUCACAAACGGCUUCAGAAGUGUGUGCUGAAGACGGUGCCUCAGACUCUGAAACUUUCGGGUCUUCCGUGGACCAACAUCCACAAGAACCUCGAAACGAGGCUGGGGAACUGGAAAAAGAGUUGACUGCUUAACAGCUAUUACAGUCUCACUGGUGGCAAAGCAGGAAGCCAAUCAGAAAAUGCCAUGGAGGAAAAGGAAGUGCUCCGAAAAUUCUCAUUAUUCACUCAUUAGUGCACCCAUGAAAAUGGGCCACUUUCUGUGUCAGUAUGUCAGCAGGCAGAUAGGCACGAAUUGCUGCCAGGGAGAUCUGUGCUCCUUGCAGCUUUAGGAGAGGCUCUUCCCCCUCCUGGGAGAGGCAGAAAACUGGAAGAAAUCAAGCAAGCACAAGGCUGGCUUCUGCCAGAACAUACGUGCAAUGGGAUUGCCCCUAAUGCUCUGUAGCCAGCUGAGAGAAGAUACUUUCCCCAAGUAAGUGAAGUAAGCAGUGAGAGGUGGGAUACAUGAUUACUUCUGAGGCAGAAGGAAUAAGACCCCAGGCAAAUGAGCUCCAAACAACGCAUCGUGUCUUUUAAUUUUUUUCCAUCUCUGAGUCUGUGGUGCUCAAUUAACCUCUUUGUGCUGUCCAGGGUUGCUGCAUGUUUGCAAAGCUUUAUGCAGCCUUCUGGAUGAUGAGACGUUAAGCACUCGGUUUGCAAUAACCGAUUUUCUCCUGAAGUCAUACAAAAAAAUCUGUUUGAUUUAAACUGUUUCCCAAGCAUCUUGGUUAAUAACAAAAGACAGUCCACUCCAAGAGAAUCUAACUUGAGGAAGCCAUGAAAUUUAAUUCAUUUCUGCAACUUAAAUAUAUAAUCAGUGACAUAUGGUAAUACUAAAUACGGGAGGAAAUGUCAUUGUUUAAGUCAAAUUUCUGCAUUCAGUCAAAAUCCAAUAGCUGUAACAUCAAACUGUAGUUUCCAUUGUGCAGGAAAUAAAGCAUCAUUUUUUCAAAUAAAAGAGACAUGCAAUUGCAUGCCUA